CUUCGAAAUUUCCCGAAGUGUUUCUAACUUCAAAGCCUCUGCAAUAUCAGACCCAAGAUCCUUCAUAGGGUCAAUCUUGGUAUUUGUGAGAAUGGGAAUGUCUAGAGUUGCUGUGUUGGCCAUCUUUGUUGUGGCAUUGGCCACUGUCAUCCCCUUUGCACAAGCUCAGGAAUUUGCACCUGCUCCUGCACCUGCCAAUGAUGGAGCAACAGUUGAUCAAGGAAUUGCAUACGUGCUGAUGCUGGUGGCUUUAGUUCUGACCUAUCUCAUCCACCCUAUGGAUGCUUUUGCCUACACCUUCUUCUAAAUUCCUCUCAGAAAUAUUAUUUAGGAUUAGGUCUAAGUUUCUUUCUUUUUUAUUAAUCUUUUAGUUUGUAAUGUGAGAUGAAAUUAGACAGUUUAAACAGGCCUUAUGUUCGACCUUCAUUUGGAUCUUUUAACCAAUUCAUUCAUGUCUUUUUGGUACUUAAUAAGAUAAUUCCAUAUAUUGGUAUUGCAUCUUUC